rnacentral:rRNA from 1 species
UUCGGGUCUAGUGGCGCACGGGUGCGUAACGCGUGGGAAUCUGCCCCUUGGUUCGGAAUAACAGUUAGAAAUGACUGCUAAUACCGGAUAAUGUCUUCAGACCAAAGAUUUAUCGCCAAGGGAUGAGCCCGCGUAGGAUUAGCUAGUUGGUGAGGUAAAAGCUCACAAAGGCGACGAUCCUUAGCUGGUCUGAGAGGAUGAUCAGCCACACUGGGACUGAGACACGGCCCAGACUCCUACGGGAGGCAGCAGUGG